AUGCUCAACGUGUUUCCCUUCCCCAUCUAUUCAUGUAUUUUAUUUUAUUCUCUGUUGAUGGCUGGGCCGCCGUGUGGGGAUCGGGAGGGUGCGGUCGGGCGUGGCGGGGCAGUGGGUCUCUGGGGGGUGUGGGGGGUGUUGCUGGGGGCUCUCUUUGCGGGGUCUCUCCGGGCGGUGCUGGCCUGGUGGGGCGUGAGGGUGCCCCUUCCCUACGGGUGGGGCUUGGUGCUCGUCUCAUCUCCUGGUUGCCUUGGGGGCGUGCCUCGCGGCGUGUGGGUCUGGGGUGGCCUGCCACGCCAGUGUAGGGGGUGGGCGCGCUGGGGGCUGCUGGCCUCUGCGCCGGGGUUGGAGCGAGGUUGCUUGGCGCUCCGGGAUGGUGCUCUUUGCUGGAGGGUGGCUCUAGCUGUUCCGGUGGUUGAGGUCGGCAUCGGCCGCUUGGUAGGUCUGUCCUGCUAUCGUGCCCUACCAUGCCUGUGGGUGUGGCUGGGCCCUUUGGUGGGGGGGUGGGGGGGCUGUCUAGGGCUCAUUGUGCGGGCGGCAUCAAGGAAAAGUGAUCUGGCGCACUCUGGGGUGCUUGGUCGGUGUGCCUGGGGGCCGGCGGGGCAACUUGCAGCAUCCCCUUGGUGCCCUCGGCGACUAUGGGCGUGGUUGCCGUCCCUGGGGGCGCUGCUCUUGGUGCUGCUUCCGUUCCGGGUCCUUCUGGCCUGGGGUCUGGUCCCUGCUGGCUCUGGGCCCGCCGGCGUGGGUCUGGCCCUCUGCUGGGCGUGGGCCUUGGCUCCGCUGCUGGGGCGGGAUGCCCUGGGUGCUCGGCUGCUUGGGGCUUCCUCGGAUGUGUGUGUGGGGGGCGGUGGUUGCCUCUCAGCCUGGGAUCUUGGGGGCGUCUGGGGGGUUGCUCGGCCGUGGGGGGGUGGCCUGGGGCUCCCUGGCCCCCACUCUUUCUGCUGGCCUGGCUGCAUCUGUGGGGCCGGGGCCGUUCCUGGGUUUGCGGUAGCGGUUUUUUGCACAUAUACUGGUAUAUGA
rnacentral:lncRNA from 1 species